AACGAACGCUGGCGGCAGGCUUAACACAUGCAAGUCGAGCGCGCCCUUCGGGGCGAGUGGCAGACGGGUGAGUAACGCGUGGGAACCUACCUUUUGGUACGGAAUAACUCAGGGAAACUUGAGCUAAUACCGUAUGUGCCCUGUCCCUUAACGGGAUUUGGGGAAAGAUUUAUCGCCAAAGGAUGGGCCCGCGUGGGUUUAGCUAGGUGGUGGGGUAAUGCCCUACCAAGGCGACGAUCCGUAGCUGGUCUGAGAGGAUGAUCAGGCACACUGGGACUGAGACACGGCCCAGACUCCUACGGGAGGCAGCAGUGGGGAAUAUUGGACAAUGGGGGCAACCCUGAUCCAGCCAUGCCGCGUGAGUGAAGAAGGCCUUAGGGUUGUAAAGCUCUUUCGCCGGUGAAGAUAAUGACGGUAACCGGAGAAGAAGCCCCGGCUAACUUCGUGCCAGCCGCCGCGGUAAAAC
rnacentral:rRNA from 1 species